rnacentral:rRNA from 1 species
AUUGAACGCUGGCGGCAGGCUUAACACAUGAAAGUCGAACGAGUGGCGGACGGGUGAGUAAUGCUUGGGAAUCUGGCUUAUGGAGGGGGAUAACGACGGGAAACUGUCGCUAAUACCGCGUACCAUAGGAUGAGCCCAAGUGGGAUUAGCUAGUAGGUGGGGUACAGGCUCACCUAGGCGACGAUCCCUAGCUGGUCUGAGAGGGUGACCAGCCACACUGGAACUUAGACACGGUCCAGACUCCUACUGGAGGCAGCAGUGGGGAAUAUUGUACAAUGGGCGCAAGCCUGAUGCAUCCAUGCCGCGUGUGUGAAGAAGUCCUUCGGGUUGUAAAGCACUUUCAGCGGGGAGGCGUUACCCUCAGAAGAAGCACCGGCUAACUCCGUGCCAGCAGCCGCGGUAAUUC